AUGACUCGGGCAUCAACUCUUGAUUUUCGGCGGAAGACACAGGGUCAGAACAACUGGUCUGGGCCGUUGCGCCUAGUAAAUGUCAUCAGAAAUAAAUUCCCUACCUACAAGAAUGCAGAUCUGCUUGAUCGGCGUCAGCGUCUUUCAGUCCGCGAGCUCGCAAUGAAAUUUGAGAAGGGCCUCAGUACUGCCACAUUAUUAUCUAAUGAGGUUAAAUGUAAACAAGUGGCUUUAUUGGAGCGAGACAUCCUUCUGAAGAAUCUAAAGAGUGUAUUGGAGUCACUGAGAGGACAAGUAGCUGGCAAAUAUAAGGAUGAAUUUGAGGAAUCAGUAUCUAUGGUGGAUAUUUUAGCAGUUCAGCUGUCCAAAAGAGAAAAUGAGUUGCUUCAGCAGAAAACCGAGGUCAUGAGAAUAGCGACUUCACUGAAACUGGCUUCUGAAGAUGCUAGGAGAAUUGUUGACGAAGAACGAACUAAUGCACGCAUGGAGAUUGAAAAUGCUAGAGCUGCUGUACAAAGAGUUCAAAAAGUACUUCAAGAGAAAGAGAACAGUUCACAAAGAAUUGGAAAGCAGGUAAAUUGUAUAUAA
rnacentral:rRNA from 1 species